rnacentral:rRNA from 1 species
AUUGAACGCUGGCGGCAUGCCUUACACAUGCAAGUCGAACGGCAGCGGACCUUCGGGUGCCGGCGAGUGGCGAACGGGUGAGUAAUAUAUCGGAACGUACCUUUCAGUGGGGGAUAACGUAGCGAAAGUUACGCUAAUACCGCAUAUUCUGUGAGCAGGAAAGCAGGGGAUCGCAAGACCUUGCGCUGAUUGAGCGGCCGAUAUCAGAUUAGCUAGUUGGUGAGGUAAAGGCUCACCAAGGCGACGAUCUGUAGCGGGUCUGAGAGGAUGAUCCGCCACACUGGAACUGAGACACGGUCCAGACUCCUACGGGAGGCAGCAGUGGGGAAUUUUGGACAAUGGGCGCAAGCCUGAUCCAGCCAUGCCGCGUGAGUGAAGAAGGACCUCGGUUG